GCCAGACUCCUACGGGAGGCAGCAGUGGGGAAUAUUGCACAAUGGGGGAAACCCUGAUGCAGCGACGCCGCGUGAGUGGAGAAGUAUUUCGGUAUGUAAAGCUCUAUCAGCAGGGAGGAAGAAGGGCGGUACCUGAGUAAGAAGCCCCGGCUAACUACGUGCCAGCAGCCGCGGUAAUACGUAGGGGGCAAGCGUUAUCCGGAUUCACUGGGUGUAAAGGGAGCGUAGACGGCCAUGCAAGCCAGGGGUGAAAGCCCGGGGCCCAACCCCGGGACUGCCCUUGGAACUGCAUGGCUGGAGUGCGGGAGGGGCAGGCGGAAUUCCUGGUGUAGCGGUGAAAUGCGUAGAUAUCAGGAGGAACACCGGCGGCGAAGGCGGCCUGCUGGACCGCGACUGACGUUGAGGCUCGAAAGCGUGGGGAGCGAACAGGAUUAGAUCCCCCUGUA
rnacentral:rRNA from 1 species